CUUUACUUUUGUACUUUAACAGCAGCAGCAACAAUAUUUAGCCAUUUUUGUUGUUGUUUUCAGCUAGUUAUGAAGGCCAUUUUGCUUUAGCGUAUAAUUUUUUCCAGUUAAUGUUUUGGUAACACUUUAGUUGAAAUACCAUUUCUCACUAUUAACUAGUGUCUAAUUCCCUGCCUAUUAAUAAGAUGUUGGCUGUUUAGUAGCACAUACAAUAUAAAGCACAUAUUCGGCAAGAACUCACUCUACAUCCCUAAACUUAGCCAACCACUACAUCAAUAACUAUUAAUAAUGAAGUUGAUAUUGGCAGAAGUCAUAGUGAGAAUUGUACCUUCAAAUAAAGUGACCAAUGUUUUGCCAUUUGAUUUGCUGUGAUGAUUUGUUCUCAGUCAUCUGUCCUGUAAGUGGUGAGCUUGUGCCUGUGUGUGGGUCAUGUGAAUUGGCUGUGUGUGUGUCUCCUCCACUCUGUGAUUUACAGCAGGACUGUGAGCGUCUUCAUCAGGAGCUCCAGCAAACAUUAACAGACACGAGCAGAGGAAACCGCAACACACUCGCUGUGAUCAUGUCGUGUGGCUCGUGUAUCUGGGCUGUGAUCUGGCUGCUGGUUCUACUGAUUCUCGGCUGGCCCCUGAGCAUCAUGCUGGGGGGUCUGUACGGCCUCAUCGCCCCGCUCACCGUCUGCUUGGGUCUGGACCGGCUGGCUGACCUGCUGAUGGAGGGAGCAAACCUGGGCCGAAAGUGCGCUCUGAACAUGAGACACGGGAAACCCCUGUGCUGAAAACACCUCAAGAAGACCUGCUGGAGUCUGAGCUGCCCAGAUCUCUGUGUUUUUGACGUCAUCUACAAUGUGUGCUUGAUUUCUUUGAGACUGCGACAUGAUGCUUCUGUACAACCUCGGUGAUCUUUUCUUGCUUUCAUUCUCUGUAGCUUAUGCUCUCAGCACUGUUAAAUAUUCAAAUUUAUAGACUCUUUCAGUAUUUUGGUGCUGAUGUUGGUCUUGAAAAUGACUGUCCUUGAAGAUUUCCCUCAGAUCUUCACUCAUGGCUUUUCUACCUUAGCUAGGCCUGUAGCCAAAUGAUUCUCAUUAGCUAUGUUUUCAUUCAAAGAUGCAAAUUAAAUGUAUGCGCAAAACUGUAUUAUGCAUGAAAGAUGUUCGAAUAAAGCAGCGUUUCCAUCCAACGA